GGCGACUGAAGCCAAAGAAAAAUUCAAAUGUUUUUAUAUUUGGCGCCAAAGAUCGUAAGCGUAGAUUACCGAUUAGGUAAACUAAGAGUUGCCAUCCGAGAUGCAGCUUCUUAUCAGCUGUAUGCAGGUAUGCACUGGAAAGCUGUAUUUACCUAUGAUGGCGCUGUGUUUGACUGACGUGUAUUUCCGCUCUGGAAUCUUAGGUUCUUUUCAAUCGAACCUUCAGAGCAGAAAGACCUGUCCAUAUUACCCAGAUAAACCUGCCUAAUCUGCCAACCCACCCAAGGAAGGAAGAAAAAUAGGAACCCUUAGGAGUUACCGGCCUUGCCCAGGAAAAUCCACCUCCACGUGGCUCAUCCAACGGCCCGGCAUCCAAGUGGAGCACGCCCUGAGCCGGCCCAGCGAUCCUCAGUGUCCCGCGGAGCGCCUUAUUCAUCCCAUCGAGGGAUCGGCAACUCCGUGGGCCAGCAUUUUUUUGAUUGUGACAGUGGGCGGAAAAGCCUAGUGGGAGUGGAAAAUGUGAAUUUAACCUAAAGUCCCCAAAAAAACCACGUGUACACAGAGAAAAAUAUAAAACAAAAAACUAUAAUGG